UGAGUACGAGCUGCUACGGCAGCGAAGUGGGUGAUGUCAAGCUUCCAAGAAAAGCCCUAUACCCGUUAAGGCAUGACGGCCUGUACCCGAAACCGACACAGGUGGGGUGGUAGAGAAUACCGAGGGGCGCGAGAUAACUCUCUCUAAGGAACUCGGCAAAAUGGCCCCGUAACUUCGGGAGAAGGGGUGCCACCGCAAGGUGGUCGCAGUGAAGAGGCCCAGGCGACUGUUUACCAAAAACACAGGUCUCCGCUAAGUCGCAAGACGAUGUAUGGGGGCUGACGCCUGCCCAGUGCCGGAAGGUUAAGGAAGCUGGUCAGCGCAAGCGAAGCUAGCGACUGAAGCCCCGGUGAACGGCGGCCGUAACUAUAACGGUCCUAAGGUAGCGAAAUUCCUUGUCGGGUAAGUUCCGACCCGCACGAAAGGCGUAACGAUCUGGGCGCUGUCUCGGAGAGAGGCUCGGCGAAAUAGAAUUGUCUGUGAAGAUGCGGACUACGUGCACCCGGACAGAAAGACCCUAUGAAGCUUUACUGUAGCUUGGUAUUGUGCCCGGGCUCUGAAUGCGCAGGAUAGGUGGGAGGCUUUGAUCCAUGGCUUGCGGGUCAUGGUGAGCCAACGGUGAGAUACCACUCUUUCAGAGCUAGGGUUCUAACAGCCACCCGUUAUCCGGGGGCUGGACAGUAUCAGGUGGGCAGUUUGACUGGGGCGGUCGCCUCCUAAAAGGUAACGGAGGCGCGCAAAGGUUUGCUCAGGCCGGUUGGAAAUCAGCCGACGAGUGCAAAAGCAGAAGCAAGCUUGACUGUGAGACCAACAAGUCGAACAGGGACGAAAGUCGGCUUUAGUGAUCCGACGGUUCUGAGUGGAAGGGCCGUCGCUCAACGGAUAAAAGUUACUCUAGGAUAACAGGCUGAUCUCCCCCAAGAGUUCACAUCGACGGGGAGGUUUGGCACCUCGAUGUCGGCUCAUCGCAACCUGGGGCUGAAGUCGGUCCCAAGGGUUGGGCUGUUCGCCCAUUAAAGCGGUACGCGAGCUGGGUUCAGAACGUCGUGAGACAGUUCGGUCCAUAUCCGGUCAUGCGUAAGAACAUUGAGAGGAGUUCUCCCUAGUACGAGAGGACCGGGAGGAACGCACCUCUGGUGUACCAGUUAUCGUGCCAACGGUAAACGCUGGGUAGCCAUGUGCGGAGAGGAUAACCGCUGAAAGCAUCUAAGUGGGAAGCCCACCUCAAGAUGAGUGUUCUCAUGGCUUAAGCCAGUAAGGUCACGGGAAGAACACCCGUUGAUAGGCUCUACGUGGAAGCGCAGCAAUGUGUGAAGCGGAGGAGUACUAAUAGACCGAGGGCUUGACC
rnacentral:rRNA from 1 species